rnacentral:rRNA from 1 species
GAUGAACGCUGGCGGCGUGCCUAAUACAUGCAAGUCGAGCGAACAGACGAGGAGCUUGCUCCUCUGACGUUAGCGGCGGACGGGUGAGUCACACGUGGAUAACCUACCUAUAAGACUGGGAUAACUACGGGAAACCGGAGCUAAUACCGGAUAAUAUAUUGAACCGCAUGGUUCAAUAGUGAAAGACGGUUUUGCUGUCACUUAUAGAUGGAUCCGCGCCGCAUUAGCUAGUUGUUAAGGUAACGGCUUACCACGGCAACGAUGCGUAGCCGACCGGAGAGGGGGGUAGGCCACACGGGAGCGGAGCCACGGUCCAGGCGCCUACGGGAGGGAGCAGUAGGGAAUCUGCCGCAAUAGGCGAAAACCUGACGGAGCAACGGCACGUGAGUGAUAAAGGUGUUCGGAUCGUAAAACUCUGUUAUUAGGGAAGAACAAAUGUGUAAGGAAAUAUGCACGUCUUGACGGUACCUAAUCAAAAAGCAACGGCUAACUACGUG